GUAGCGGUGAAAUGCGUAGAUAUCAGGAGGAAUACCAACGGCGAAGGCAGCUACCUGGAUGAAUACUGACACUGAGGCACGAAAGCGUGGGUAGCAAAAGGGAUUAGAUACCCCUGUAGUCCACGCCCUAAACGGUGCACACUCGGUUUUAGCGGAUUUGACCCCGCUAGGGCCUGAGCUAACGCGUUAAGUGUGCCGCCUGAGGACUACGGCCGCAAGGCUAAAACUCAAAGGAAUUGACGGGGCCCCGCACAAGCGGUGGAGUAUGUGGCUUAAUUCGAGGCAACGCGAAGAACCUUACCAGGGUUUGACAUGCAGGAGACCGGGGGUGAAAGCUCCCUUCGGUAGCAAUACCGCUGCUGCACAGGUGCUGCAUGGCUGUCGUCAGCUCGUGUCGUGAGAUGUUGCGUUAAGUCGCGCAACGAGCGCAACCCCUGUCUUUAGUUACCAGCACGUAAUGGUGGGGACUCUAAAGAGACAAACCUCCUCUGGAGGUGGGAAGGUGGGGAUGACGUCAAGUUAGCAUGGCCCUUACACCCUGGGCUGCACACGUACUACAAUGCCCGGUACAGAGCGUUCCAAGACCGCGAGGUGGAGGCAAUCGCCAAAAGCCGGGCCCAGUUCAGAUUGGAGUCUGCAACUCGACUCCAUGAAGCCGGAAUCGCUAGUAAUGGCAUAUCAGCAACGGUGCCGUGAAUACGUUCCCGGGGCUUGUACACACCGCCCGUCACAUCAUGAAAGCCGGUUUUGCCCGAAGUAUGUGAGC
rnacentral:rRNA from 1 species